rnacentral:rRNA from 1 species
UACGUAGGUGGCGAGCGUUGUCCGGAUUUACUGGGCGUAAAGGGCGUGCAGGCGGUUUGUUAAGUGCAGGGUGAAAGCUCCCGGCUCAACUGGGAGAGGUCCUUGCAUACUGGCGAACUCGAGGGAGGCAGAGGAAAGUGGAAUUCCCGGUGUAGUGGUGAUAUGCGUAGAUAUCGGGAGGAACACCUGUGGCGAAGGCGGCUUUCUGGGCCUUACCUGACGCUGAGACGCGAAAGCUAGGGGAGCGAACGGG